AGAGCGAACGCUGGCGGCAGGCUUAACACAUGCAAGUCGAGCGGGCGUAGCAAUACGUCAGCGGCAGACGGGUGAGUAACGCGUGGGAACGUACCUUUUGGUUCGGAACAACACAGGGAAACUUGUGCUAAUACCGGAUAAGCCCUUACGGGGAAAGAUUUAUCGCCGAAAGAUCGGCCCGCGUCUGAUUAGCUAGUUGGUGUGGUAACGGCGCACCAAGGCGACGAUCAGUAGCUGGUCUGAGAGGAUGAUCAGCCACAUUGGGACUGAGACACGGCCCAAACUCCUACGGGAGGCAGCAGUGGGGAAUAUUGGACAAUGGGCGCAAGCCUGAUCCAGCCAUGCCGCGUGAGUGAUGAAGGCCCUAGGGUUGUAAAGCUCUUUUGUGCGGGAAGAUAAUGACGGUACCGCAAGAAUAAGCCCCGGCUAACUUCGCGCCAGCAGCCGC
rnacentral:rRNA from 1 species